rnacentral:rRNA from 1 species
AUGCAAGUCGAACGGUAACAUUUCUAGCUUGCUAGAAGAUGACGAGUGGCGGACGGGUGAGUAAUGCUUGGGAACUUGCCUUUGCGAGGGGGAUAACAGUUGGAAACGACUGCUAAUACCGCAUAAUGUCUUCGGACCAAACGGGGCUUCGGCUCCGGCGCAAAGAGAGGCCCAAGUGAGAUUAGCUAGUUGGUAAGGUAACGGCUUACCAAGGCGACGAUCUCUAGCUGUUCUGAGAGGAAGAUCAGCCACACUGGGACUGAGACACGGCCCAGACUCCUACGGGAGGCAGCAGUGGGGAAUAUUGCACAAUGGGGGAAACCCUGAUGCAGCCAUGCCGCGUGUGUGAAGAAGGCCUUCGGGUUGUAAAGCACUUUCAGUUGUGAGGAAAAGUUAGUAGUUAAUACCUGCUAGCCGUGACGUUAACAACAGAAGAAGCACCGGCUAACUCCGUGCCAGCAGCCGCGGUAAUACGGAGGGUGCGAGC